GUGAUCACUUCUGUAGCACAUACACUAAAGUUGGAACAGUGCAGAGGAGAUUAGCAUGACCCCUGCACAAGGAUGACACGCAAAAACUGAAGCAUUCCAUAGUUUU
ensembl:snRNA U6 U6 spliceosomal RNA